rnacentral:rRNA from 1 species
GUUUUUGGUAUUGCAUAUCAUUUAAAGAAAAUUUUAUAGUUAUAAAAAAUAGAAUUAAAAAGUAGAAAAAUUUAUAUUUUUAUUGUUUCAUAAUAAAAAUUAUAAUUUUUAGGGUUGAAAAGUCGAUUUUUGAGAUAUCUGUUUUGUUUUUAUUUAUUAGAAAUUUAUAAAAAGGUAAUUUUAAUUUUUGUAGAAAGUAAAAGUUGAAGUAUUUUUAUUUUUAGUUUUAUAACUGUUUAUACAAAUUAUGUUUGUUUAGUUUUGGUUUAAAAAUGUGUUUAUUAAAAUAUUUAAUAAAUUUAUAAUUUUAGAAUUAGUAGUUUAUUUAAAGAUUUUAUUGAUUUUUAAUAUAAUAUAAUAACUAAGUGAUUAAUCAAAUGUUUUUUAAAGACUUAGACUUUUAUAUAAAGUUAGCUUCUGCCCAAUGAUAUAUUAAAUGGCAGUCUUAGCGUGAGGACAUUAAGGUAGCAAAAUAAUUUGUGCUUUUAUUAAGUUCCAGUAUGAAUGAAGUUAUUGGUUAGUUAUUUUUUUAUUUUUUAUAUGAAUUUUUAAUUGAUAUAAAAAAGUAUUAGUAUAGUUAUACAAAGAUAAGUCUUCGGAAAUUCUUUUUUAAUUAUGUUAAGUUAUAUUUAGUGUAAUUAAAAAUUUUCUAGGGCAGAAUAUUAUAUAAUUUGUUUUAUCUAUUGAUAAAUUUAUGAAUUACUCCGGAGUUAACAGAAAAUCAUACCUAAUCUAGUACUUAUAGUAAGGUAAGUUUUACAUCGAUGUUGUAUUUAAGUUUAUUAAAGAAGGAGAAAAUUUAAUUUUUAAGACUGUUCUUCUUUUAAUUAACUUAACGUGAUAUUAGUUUAAUUCAUUGUGAGAUAGAAUUGUUUAUCUUGAUAAUUAUUAAUGUAUAAUUUUAAUAGUACGAAAGGAAAAUUAAAAAAAGUUUUAAACUUUUAAAAGAAUUAAGUAAU